GCUUAAACAUGCAAGUCGAACGAUGAAGCCCAGCUUGCUGGGUGGAUUAGUGGCGAACGGGUGAGUAACACGUGAGUAACCUGCCCCCGACUCUGGGAUAAGCCCGGGAAACUGGGUCUAAUACCGGAUAUUACCUUUGACCGCAUGGUUGUUGGUGGAAAGAUUUAUCGGUGGGGGAUGGACUCGCGGCCUAUCAGCUUGUUGGUGAGGUAAUGGCUCACCAAGGCGACGACGGGUAGCCGGCCUGAGAGGGUGACCGGCCACACUGGGACUGAGACACGGCCCAGACUCCUACGGGAGGCAGCAGUGGGGAAUAUUGCACAAUGGGCGAAAGCCUGAUGCAGCGACGCCGCGUGAGGGAUGACGGCCUUCGGGUUGUAAACCUCUUUCAGUAGGGAAGAAGCGAAAGUGACGGUACCUGCAGAAGAAGCGCCGGCUAACUACGUGCCAGCAGCCGCGGUAAUACGUAGGGCGCAAGCGUUAUCCGGAUUUAUUGGGCGUAAAGAGCUCGUAGGCGGUUUGUCGCGUCUGCCGUGAAAGUCCGAGGCUCAACCUCGGAUCUGCGGUGGGUACGGGCAGACUAGAGUGAUGUAGGGGAGACUGGAAUUCCUGGUGUAGCGGUGAAAUGCGCAGAUAUCAGGAGGAACACCGAUGGCGAAGGCAGGUCUCUGGGCAUUUACUGACGCUGAGGAGCGAAAGCAUGGGGAGCGAACAGGAUUAGAUACCCUGGUAGUCCAUGCCGUAAACGUUGGGCACUAGGUGUGGGGGACAUUCCACGUUUUUCCGCGC
rnacentral:rRNA from 1 species